AAGGUGGACGAGGAGGAUGUCGUCUCUCACAUCCUCGUUAGACUCGACGAGGAAUUCGACCCCGUGGUGUCUGCCAUGUGCUCUAGGGUUGAGCCUGUCCGGGUCCCGGAGUUGUAUUCGCAACUUCUGAGCUUUGAGA
rnacentral:snoRNA from 1 species